rnacentral:rRNA from 1 species
CUUUUGUAGUAAUACGAGAGUAUCCUAGUGGGGAACGGGUGAGUAUCGCGUUGGUGACCUACCCCAAAGUCUGGGAUAACAGUUCGAAAGGACUGCUAAUACCGGAUGUGGUCAUCGGGUUUAGAAACCGAUGUCUAAAGGAUUUAUUCGCUUUGGGAGGGGCCUGCGUCCCAUCAGCUAGUUGGUAAGGUAACGGCUUACCAAGGCGACGACGGGUAGGGGACCUCAGAGGGUGGCCCCCCACAAUGGAACUGAAACACGGUCCAU